rnacentral:sRNA from 1 species
AUUAUUUUAGUCAUUAUAUCCUAAUAUCAUGAUACGUGUUCCUAUAUAUUUUGUUUCGCUUAAAAUCUAAACAACGCCGUAAACAUGCUAAGACUUACCGCUAGACUGCCUACAAACACGCUUCAGAAACGAUAUUUAUUCUAGUACAAACCUUUUAAAGCAUUGCUUGUAUCAAUAUAAAUAUUUUUAACUUGUUGAUAGUUACUUAACGCACCUUUAUAAGUUUCUCGACCGAUACCUGAUUUUUUAUAACCACCAAAUGG